AAAGCCACUUACCCCGAGGAAGAGAUGAAGGUGAAGAACUUUCUGGGCCUGAGUCCGUGGGAACACAGAAGAAAGAAAGAAGAACUGAGACUUAAAACAAAUGAAGCUUAACUGGUACAUCUGGACUCUGAUGAGUGAGAAGUCCAAGCAAAUAGAAAAGCCACAGCCAAAUGGGUCUUACUGUGUCACCCAGGCUGGAGUGGAAUGGCACUAUCUUGACUCACUACAGCCUUAAUCUCCUAAGCUCAAGCAAUCCUC